AACGAACGCUGGCGGCGUGGAUAAGACAUGCAAGUCGAACGGGAUUUAUUUUUAGUAGCAAUACAGAAAUAAUUCAGUGGCGAACGGGUGCGUAACACGUGGGCAAUCUGCCGAAAAGUGGGGGAUAGCUCGCCGAAAGGCGAAUUAAUACCGCAUGUGGUGAGGGACGACAUCUUCCUGAAUCCAAAGCCGGGGCAACCUGGCGCUUUUUUGAGGAGCCCCGCGGCCUAUCAGCUUGUUGGUGAGGUAACGGCUCACCAAGGCUUUUGACGGGUAGCUGGUCUGAGAGGACGACCAGUCACACUGGAACUGAGACAC
rnacentral:rRNA from 1 species